UAGGGAAUCUUCCGCAAUGGGCGAAAGCCUGACGGAGCAACGCCGCGUGAGUGAUGAAGGUCUUCGGAUCGUAAAACUCUGUUAUUAGGGAAGAACAAAUGUGUAAGUAACUAUGCACGUCUUGACGGUACCUAAUCAGAAAGCCACGGCUAACUACGUGCCAGCAGCCGCGGUAAUACGUAGGUGGCAAGCGUUAUCCGGAAUUAUUGGGCGUAAAGCGCGCGUAGGCGGUUUUUUAAGUCUGAUGUGAAAGCCCACGGCUCAACCGUGGAGGGUCAUUGGAAACUGGAAAACUUGAGUGCAGAAGAGGAAAGUGGAAUUCCAUGUGUAGCGGUGAAAUGCGCAAAGAUAUGGAGGAAAACCAGUGGCGAAGGCGACUUUCUGGUCUGUAACUGACGAUGAUGUGCGAAAGCGUGGGGAUCAAACAGG
rnacentral:rRNA from 1 species